GCCCUGGCGCCGGUUCUGGGAGAAGUCGGCGCGGAACCUCCAGAGGCCGUCCAGUUCCUUGCGCUCCCGCGACCGGCUCUCCCGGGGGUAGAGCAUCCCGCCCUGCAGCAGCGCCAGCCCGCAGCCCCAGAGCAGCGGGCCGAGCACGGCCCAGGCGCCCGCCAGCCCCCGGCGCAUGGUUCCCGCGGGCCCCUAGCUGCCAGCAGCCCCGCGCCCGAUGCCGUGAGCGCGGGAGGCGGGGCCGGGGUGGAGCCUGAAGUCACGUGUCCCGCCCCCGCGCCAUCUUCGUUGAAGGCGGUUCCGCGGCCAGGUUUCCGCCGGAGGCCCGCUCCCACCAGGCCGUUCCAGGCCCGCCUUCCUGACCGAGAGCGGCGGCAGGGGAGGGUCCGCGGGGAGCCCGAGCUCCACCCCGGGCCCCGAAGGGCGGUGGUCGCAGGCUCCGCGCCCGCGAGGUCACUGCCGUCCGCCGCCCUCCCCCGCCCUCCCAUCCCCGGCUGCUAGCGCCCAGGGCGGCUGGUCCAGGGACGCGGGCCGCAGCGAAAUCCGGGAGACGGCCGGGUUACCCACGAUGCUUCAAGGAGGCCGACCUGGGACACCUCCACUCGCUUAUGCUUGCGGGACACCGGAUUUUGGUGAGAUUUGUAUAGACGAGGCCUCUGCAUCUCUGCUGGCUCUGGGCACCCACCGUUAUUGAAUGCUUACAUGUCCUAGGCCUGGCCUCGGGCUCUUUGCAGACUCAGUGAGACCAUCCCUCCCUUGACUGCAGCACGGGCAGGCCCCUCUGGCACCACCUGUCCGUGGCCCUCACCUCACGGGCAGGAACAAGCACAUACCCCCUCCCUCUGCCCCACGGCCUCUGGACCCACCCACACUUGCCUCCUCUCAAGAUCACCCUCCUGGCAUCCCAGCCCUGAGCUUAGGGGCCUCGGGGAGAAGAGGCGUGUCUUGCCUGCAGUGUAGAGAUGACGCCAGUGGCCACCUGGAGGACGGCGCUCAUGGUGUUGGACACUUCAAACACAGCUUCCUUGUCCUCCUGGGAGGCACGUGGCAGGAGGCACCAUUAUUUGCUUGUCAUGCAGACAGCAACGCUGUGAACUGGGCACCAAUACUAUCCUGCUACAGAGAGGAAAGACUGAGGCACAGAGCAGAUCUGUACCUUGCCCUUGCUGAGAGUGGCAGAGCCUGGAAUGCACCUCGGCAGCCGGAAGUCGAAGCCCUGCUCUAAACCCCACAGGCCACCAGGACCUCUCUGCUGGCUCCGCUGUUCUGAACAUUUGCUGCAGGGACAAGUGAGGAGGCACUUGAGGGGCCCCAUCAGUCUCAAAUUACCUGCAUCUCCCUCCCCCAGCUUGGGGUGGGGCCUAAGGUCCCAACCCCCCACUCCUCUGGAGAGCACCCCGGACACACCGUUAUCAUUGGCCUUCUAGGAGGUCACUAGCUGACCCUCUGCCCCCCAGGAGCCAAGGGCAGAGGGAUGGGACAGAGACACCUCUGUUUUGAAAGAGGGCAUAGGUCAGGGCAUGGGACAGAUGGGGGAGGGAGCGCAGAAUGCCUGAGGGGCAGUCCUAGUGCCCAGUGAGCCAAGGACAGGAGGGGAGUGGUCUGGGGUGGAGAUGGGAAUGUUACUUCACUGGCAUCUUUUCUGUGGAGGGUGGUUUACAGUGGCCACUGGGGACAUAUGUUCUCCUCUGUCUCCCUGCAAUGUCCCAGACCUCAGUUAGCCACCUGACCAUAGGGGUGUUAUAUUACCUCUCUAACCUUCAGGAUUGCCCCUUUAUAAAAUAGAAAUAAUAAUAGCAUCUAUCUGAUGGAGUUGUUAGAUUAAGCCAUUAGAUUAAGCUAACUGCAUACAUAGCACAGUGCCUGGUACUCAGUAAGUUCUAGGUAUUGCUAAGGGAGGGGCCGAGGGCUGCCAGGGUCAGGGUGUGCCUUAGCUCCACUCCUCACUCCUGUGUGCACCCCCGGGCCCUCCACCGUGCUCUGGCCCCAGGCUGUGAGCUGACCCCUCAGUGCCCAGCAGCCUUGGCUGCCAGAGGACUCUGCCCUGCAGAUGUAGCCUCUGCCCCCACUCAGCCUUUUGAGCUGGACCUGCCCCUUACCCCCUGCUGCCCCGCCAAGCCUAGAUCUCCAGCAAAGCACCAC